rnacentral:rRNA from 1 species
CAAUAGCGUAUAUUAAAGUUGUUGCAGUUAAAAAGCUCGUAGUUGAAUUUCGGGUCCCCGCGCUCGGCGCUUCAUUGUGCCGUCGUGGUGUCCCUCCUCGCCGUAAGGCGUCCUUUACUGUGAAAAAAUUAGAGUGUUCAAAGCAGGCAAUCGCUUGAAUACAUUAGCAUGGAAUAAUAAGAUAGGAUCUUGUCUAUUUUGUUGGUUGCGGACAACGAUAAUGAUUAAUAGGGAUAGUUGGGGGUGUCCGUAUUGAGCUGUCAGGGGUGAAAUUCUUGGAUUUGCUCAAGACGAACUACUGCGAAAGCAUUCACCAAGGAUGUUUNCAUUAA